rnacentral:rRNA from 1 species
GGCACGACUCUCGGCAAUGGAUAUCUCGGCUCUCGCAUCGAUGAAGAGCGCAGCGAAAUGCGAUAUGUGGUGCGAAUUGCAGAAUCCCGCGAACCAUCGAGUCUUUGAACGCAAGUUGCGCCCGAGGCCAACCGGCCAAGGGCACGCCUGCCUGGGCGUCAAGC